rnacentral:rRNA from 1 species
UACGUAGGGUGCAAGCGUUGUCCGGAAUUACUGGGCGUAAAGGGCGCGUAGGCGGUGUGUCAAGUCAGGCGUGAAAGCCCCGGGCUCAACCUGGGAACCGCGCUUGAGACUGGCACGCUCGAGUCCGGGAGAGGAUGGUGGAAUUCCCAGUGUAGAGGUGAAAUUCGUAGAUAUUGGGAAGAACACCGAUGGCGAAGGCAGCCAUCUGGACCGGCACUGACGCUGAGGCGCGAAAGCGUGGGGAGCAAACAGG